rnacentral:misc_RNA from 1 species
CUGUGUUAGUUGUACAGAAUGCAAAUCAGUAGGGUCAAGGAGGACAAUGAAAAGGGAAAGGAAGAGGUUCCAAGUCACACUGUACUUAUUGUGAUAAAGAGGUCACACAAGGGAUAAUUGUUGAUCGUUGCAUGGUUGAUCACCAUGCAAUAAUCAGACUACUAAUAUUGGAUGACCCAUAGUUCAUAUGGCUCAGAAUGGUGGAGAUGGAACUCUUCCUUUUCUGGAUGCAAAUGAUCGACUAUCCAAUUCUAUUACCUUAACUAGAACAGAUUAUGAUAAGUACCUAUAGUACCAAGCAGCAAAACAGCAGUCCUCUUCAUCUAAUAUUUUCCAUUCUCGUAAUUCCCUUGCUUGUCUAAUACAGUCUUCACCUAUCAGCCCAUGGAUAAUAGAUUGAUUAGAUUCUGAU